rnacentral:SRP_RNA from 2 species
GGUGGCUCGGCUGGUCCCCUCGCAACAAUAAGUUGUGAACCCCGUCAGGCCUGGAAGGGAGCAGCGGUAACAACAGAUUUGUGUGCCGGGGUGUGGCUAGUACGAGCCGCCGCCAUUA